rnacentral:misc_RNA from 1 species
AAUUAGCCACCGCAUCAGCAAGACGAUCACGAAGUACAGCAAUCAGAUUGCUGAGGGCUGAGCCAGAAAAGGGGCCGUAUCUCAACACCAAUCGCAUGGCAGAGACAGCACACACUGUUUCACUGGUGCUAAGCAUAUCCCAGCAAUUAGCUAACUGGUUAUGAAGAAUGGGUAUUGCAAGCUUCUCCACCAACUGAGGAAUAAGAUUGACAUCAGUAUCAUCAGCACUUAUUUCGGUUUCACCUUCUGGGGAAAUUCCAUAACUGAAUAGAGAAUUGUGCCAAUUCAUAUCCAUAAAAUCUGUGUUUUCAUGCAGUGGAUCCCACUUCAGAAGCUCUAGUCUCACAUAGGGUGAAAAAAUAACAGGUAUACUAAGUGACAUAUACGCAUCACGAUAGCUUGAGGCAUAAUCUUUCUUCCAUCUGUCAAACUUUUCAACAACCACAGACAGUUGAGAGUAUUCCUCGUGUGCAUCACCAAAAAUCUGCUCGGAAACCUGAAGCAAUUGAUCACGGUUUGAUUGAUAUGCCGUACUCUCAGAGUCACUUUCGUCGGUGCUAGAUUCUCCUUCUAUUUUCUGAUAAGAGCUAUCACAUUUUAUAGCUGACAUUCUUUUAACAUCAUUUUUCAUUCUCCUUCGCUUCCGAGCCUCUGCCCUUCUUGUUGUAUCCAUCCGUUUCUGCAGGUUCUUAUCUCUACCAAAUUCAUCUAGCUCUACAGGUAAGUCUCCUCCUUUCCUCAUUGCUGCUGUUGACGUCUGAGCAGCAGCUGUGGCAGCUUCUAUUGUUGCUGCAUUGCUCCCACCUCUGCUUAGAACUUGUCUUGCAGCACUUACAGCAGCUUCAAGUUCCUUCAUCUCAUCAUCAUUAUCAGCAGCUCUCCUUUCUAAGAUAGCGGCUGCUCGUUCUUCAUGAAGUUUCUG